AAUUUUGCUUUCUUACUGUUUUCUUUGGCUUGGGUUUGUAAGUGAUGAAGAUGAUGGACCACAUUGUAGGAAGCAGUGUCUGGAGUCAGAUUGAGGCCAUGAAGCACCUUAUCCAUUGGACCUUGGAGUUUUCUGCCUAGCUGGAGUUCUGCUGGAGAUAGUCCAGUGGUCUCUUGGAUGGCUGAAUUCAGGGCGAAUCGGAACUCGGUUCUCUGAACACAGCUGAGACAAACUGAACUCCCCUGUCUGAGAGGAGAAAAUCUGGUACCCCCCAUCGAGUCAGGAUCUCUUUUCUGAAGAUAGAGGCAACAUUCUGGGUAGUGGAUUUACGCAUGGGGAACAACUCAACCCAGCGAGAAUAAUAAUCGACAAAAACGAGCAGGUUUUCACAUGACGUUUCACAUUGGACCACAUGCCUGG